GAAAAGAGAAAAUGUAUUAUCGCUGAAGACAAUGGCCUAAAUCUUGCAUUUACAAUUGCUCAUGAAAUGGGUCACAACUUUUUCAGUUAGAACUGCUUCUGCAUUCUAAAAUAAAUCUGGAGAUUCAUUGGGCAGCAAAACUUUGCACUGGCUUGGCACAUUCUGCUCCCACCUGA